rnacentral:rRNA from 1 species
ACGAACGCUGGCGGCGUGCUUAACACAUGCAAGUCGAACGGAAAGGCCCUGCUUUUGUGGGGUGCUCGAGUGGCGAACGGGUGAGUAACACGUGAGUAACCUGCCCUUGACUUUGGGAUAACUUCAGGAAACUGGGGCUAAUACCGGAUAGGAGCUCCUGCUGCAUGGUGGGGGUUGGAAAGUUUCGGCGGUUGGGGAUGGACUCGCGGCUUAUCAGCUUGUUGGUGGGGUAGUGGCUUACCAAGGCUUUGACUGGUAGCCGGCCUGAGAGGGUGACCGGCCACAUUGGGACUGAGAUACGGCCCAGACUCCUACGGGAGGCAGCAGUGGGGAAUAUUGCACAAUGGGCGGAAGCCUGAUGCAGCAACGCCGCGUGCGGGAUGACGGCCUUCGGGUUGUAAACCGCUUUCGCCUGUGACGAAGCGUGAGUGACGGUAAUGGGUAAAGAAGCACCGGCUAACUACGUG